rnacentral:rRNA from 1 species
UGAGGAAUAUUGGUCAAUGGGCGAGAGCCUGAACCAGCCAAGUAGCGUGCAGGAUGACGGCCCUAUGGGUUGUAAACUGCUUUUAUGUGGGGAUAAAGUGCGUGACGUGUCAUGCAUUGCAGGUACCACAUGAAUAAGGACCGGCUAAUUCCGUGCCAGCAGCCGCGGUAAUACGGAAGGUCCGGGCGUUAUCCGGAUUUAUUGGGUUUAAAGGGAGCGUAGGCUGUCUAUUAAGCGUGUUGUGAAAUAUACCGGCUCAACCGGUGGCUUGCAGCGCGAACUUGUCGACUUGAGUAUGCAGGAAGUAGGCGGAAUUCAUGGUGUAGCGGUGAAAUGCUUAGAUAUCAUGACGAACUCCGAUUGCGCAGGCAGCUUACUGUAGCAUAACUGACGCUGAUGCUCGAAAGUGCGGGUAUCAAACAGG